rnacentral:rRNA from 1 species
CACGGGGGUUGCGAGCGUUAUCCGGAAUUACUGGGCGUAAAGGGUGCGUAGGUGGUUUCUUAAGUCAGAGGUGAAAGGCUACGGCUCAACCGUAGUAAGCCUUUGAAACUGGGAAACUUGAGUGCAGGAGAGGAGAGUGGAAUUCCUAGUGUAGCGGUGAAAUGCGUAGAUAUUAGGAGGAACACCAGUUGCGAAGGCGGCUCUCUGGACUGUAACUGACACUGAGGCACGAAAGCGUGGGGAGCAAACAGGAUUAGAUACCCUGGUAGUCCCUGAG